AAUGGCCCCAGAACUCCCAUGCUCUGUAAUACUGGAGUGGGGGAGAAAAAAAUUUCUUAAAUUUUACUUAAACAAGCACUGGAGUGGAAGAUAAAUUAGAGCUUAUGGACUCAUGAACAGGAGGUUAAGCUGAAGGCAGAAAUAGAGUAAGGGCAAAGUUGGGAGGGAGUAAGAGGAUCUGCUGUAAAUCAGGAAAGAACAGUGAAAAAGAAAGAGCAACAAGACUGAAGGAAAACAAGUAUUCUGAAAAAGAUGUAAAACAUAGGCAAGGAAGGAAAACAAGACUAACUGGGCAUGCAUAAAGGAACAGACAUGAGGUACAGCAGAAAAAUGAAGACUAGAAUUAAUAUGAAUGUGGCUGUCGUGAUCAGAGGCCAAGCAACAGGUGUCCCUCCCUGGAAGGAAGGGUCAGGGCUCAAGGAGAUUUUGUAAAGCACACACAUGGAGCACAGCUAACAGCUGAUGAAGACACCAUGUUGCAGGGUUUGUUCCUUCCCUAUGACUGGUGGGCUGAAAAGAUAUUCUCCCUUCAUUUGAUACUCAUAUUUGAACUUGCUACUUCUAAACUGCCUCCUCUCAUCUUCGAGGCUACAUCAAGGCUUCCUGCUGCCAGGCUGGGGCGAGACAUCUCGGCUCAGACGUCCUGGAGGCAGAAUGAAGGCACCCAUGAGUGAUUGAAGCCAAACUCACAUCUGAUGAACUCAAGAUAUUCUGAGGAAUGUGUGUGCAGUGAACAGCAACAGAACAUGAGGAUGGCAUGCUGAGAGACAAACCAUUGUUUUUUCUAUUAAAAUAUGUACACAUACAGCA